GGAUUCCCCUAGUAACUGCGAGUGAAGCGGGAAAAGCUCAAAUUUAAAAUCUGGCAGAUGUUUGUCUGUCCGAGUUGUAACCUAGAGAAGUGUAACCUGUGCUGGACCGUGUACAAGUCUCCUGGAAUGGAGCAUCAUAGAGGGUGAGAAUCCCGUCUUUGACAUGGACUACCAGUGCACUGUGGUUGCGCACUCAACGAGUCGAGUUGUUUGGGAAUGCAGCUCUAAAUGGGUGGUAAAUUCCAUCUAAAGCUAAAUAUUGGCGAGAGACCGAUAGCGAACAAGUACCGUGAGGGAAAGAUGAAAAGAACUUUGGAAAGAGAGUUAAACAGUAUGUGAAAUUGUUGAAAGGGAAACACUUGAAGUCAGCUGCAUUGGCUGGGGAUCAAGCCAGCUUAUUUGCUGGGUGUACUUCCUGGUUGAUGGGCCAACAUCAGUUUUGACCAUCAGAGAAAGGCUAAGGGAAUGUGGCACCUUUAUAGGUGUGUUAUAGCCCUUGGUUGUAUGUGGUGGAUGGGACUGAGGAUAGCAGCGUGCCGCAAGGCCGGGUUUCGACCACGUUCACGCUUUGGAUGUUGGCAAUAAUGGCUUUAAGUGACCCGUCUUGAAACACGGACCAAGGAGUCUAACAUGCAUGCAAGUGUUUGGGUGGAAAACUCAAGCGCGUAAUGAAAGUGAAAGUUGAGAUCCCUCUCACAGGGGAGCAUCGACGCCCGGACCAGAACUUUUGGGACGGAUCUGCGGUAGAGCAAGCAUGUUGGGACCCGAAAGAUGGUGAACUAUGCCUGAAUAGGGUGAAGCCAGAGGAAACUCUGGUGGAGGCUCGUAGCGAUUCUGACGUGCAAAUCGAUCGUCGAAUUUGGGUAU
rnacentral:rRNA from 1 species